rnacentral:ncRNA from 1 species
AGGCGCCGGAUGCUUGGAAACUUGCUUGUCCGGUUCUGUGGGGGGCUAAUUGCGAAUAUUAAAGUUAAAUUAUCAAUGUACUUUCUAAACCGAGUUAAUCUAUCCCGAU